UACGUAGGGUGCGAGCGUUAAUCGGAAUUACUGGGCGUAAAGCGUGCGCAGGCGGUUCUGAAAGUCAGCUGUGAAAGCCCCGGGCUUAACCUGGGAAUGGCGGUUGAAACUACAGGACUAGAAUCUGGCAGAGGGGGGUGGAAUUCCACGUGUAGCAGUGAAAUGCGUAGAGAUGUGGAGGAACACCGAUGGCGAAGGCAGCCUCCUGGGCCAGCACUGACGCUCAUGCACGAAAGCGUGGGGAGCAAACAGG
rnacentral:rRNA from 1 species